CACUCAAUUCAUGUGAUUUGUAGAAAUAUGCAUACAUAUGUCUAUGUAUGCACUAUAUAUAUAUAUAUAUAUAUAUAUAUAUACAUAGACAUAUGUAUGCAUAUUUCUACAAAUCACAUGAAUUGAGUG
rnacentral:miRNA from 1 species